UGUAUGUUCUGCAAAGCUCAAAAAAAGAAAUUGGUCUUUUGUGGCUUCCAGGAAAAAGUGCUUUUCUCCUCUUCUUUUUGUUUUAUGUUUGUUGCACAUCGAAAUCCCAGAAUCAGCUACGAGAAGGAAGGGAGUGAAGACUUUCAGAAGAAUUGGAUUUCUCACUACUGAAGUAGUAUUUCACGCAGACACUGCAUGUACAGGAGAGAAGAGACAAGAAAACUGAGGCCCAAGCAUUCUGCAACUUGCCAGGCUUCAGACAGCUCAGCUGGAGACCAAAUUCUGAGAUCCCUCUCUGUCUUCCCCAGCAUCACCCACAGAAUCCCCAUCUCCUUUCCCCUACACCUGCCUUCCAGGGGACAUCGGCAAUGUCUGGAGUGAGACAGUGAAGAAAACCAUUCAGCAGCUCUACAUUCAGGCCUCAUGGAGAACUGGAAAACGAUUCAGGAAACCAUAGCAACUCCAGCUACCAGAGUGCGGUCUCCUCUGAAGAAGAGAAACCGUUGUUCUAACUCUUCAAAUCCAAGACAUCUAUCUUCACGUCGGAACAUGAGGGACCCAGAGCUUACGACACACAUAUUCCAAGUUGACACAGCUCACUUACAUGAGUGACUUUAAAAACAAAGAGAGGAAGAAAAAAAAGAGCAGGGGAAGAGAAGACAAAAAAAAAAAAAAACCUAAGAGAAAAAAACCCUGAAUGUUUUGAAAAUCAGUACUUGUUGGAGACGGAUGGAGCUGUGAGGGGCCAGGUGGCCGUCUGUUCUAAAAUCCCGGGUGAGGACACCCAGGAUAACUCCGCA